rnacentral:rRNA from 1 species
AUAUUAAAGUUGCUGCAGUUAAAAAGCUCGUAGUUGGAUCUUGACGGCACUGCCGCGGGUUGAGUUGUGUAGCGACUUGGGUUGGACUCUGUCCCUCGAGUAGUUGCAUGCUUUGACUCGUUGGUGGUGCAGUCUUUCAGCCGUGUCUGUUCCCUUCGGGGUUCAGGUGCUGUUUGAUGGAUGGGCUGGUCCUGUCUGUCGAGCGGUACGUACUACGAUCCACUUUAUUGCGUGUCGUGGUGCGGGCGGCAUGUUUACUUUGAACAAAUUUGAGUGCUCAAAGCAGGCCAAUGUGUCUGAAAAGUCUUGCAUGGAAUAAUGGAAUAGGACUUCAGUUCUAUUUUGUUGGUUUUCGGAUCUGAAGUAAUGGUUAAGAGAGACAGACGGGGGCAUUUGUAUGGCGGUGUUAGAGGUGAAAUUCUUGGAUCGCCGCCAGACAGCCUGAAGCGAAAGCAUUUGCCAGGAAUGUUUUCAUUGACAAAGAGCGAAAGUCAGAGGUUCGAAGACGAUCAGAUACCGUCCUAGUUCUGACCAUAAACGAUGCCGACUGACGAUCCGUGGGGUAAAAUUCUUUUGUCCCCACGGGCAGUCUCCGGGAAACCUUUAAGUCUUUGGGUUCCGGGGGAAGUAUGGUUGCAAAGCUGAAACUUAAAGGAAUUGACGGAAGGGCACCACCAGGAGUGGAGCCUGC